rnacentral:rRNA from 1 species
UACGUAGGGUGCGAGCGUUGUCCGGAUUUACUGGGCGUAAAGGGAGCGUAGGCGGACUUUUAAGUGAGAUGUGAAAUACCCGGGCUCAACUUGGGUGCUGCAUUUCAAACUGGAAGUCUAGAGUGCAGGAGAGGAGAAUGGAAUUCCUAGUGUAGCGGUGAAAUGCGUAGAGAUUAGGAAGAACACCAGUGGCGAAGGCGAUUCUCUGGACUGUAACUGACGCUGAGGCUCGAAAGCGUGGGGAGCAAACAGGAUUAGAUACCCCGGUA